AGACUGUGGCGACGCGGGAAGUCCAGACGCUGUGGCGGCCUGAAGAGGAGGUCGCAGGCACAGUCCCCCGCCGCGACCAUGGCGGAGAGGCCCGAGGACCUAAAUCUGCCCAAUGCCGUCAUCACCAGAAUCAUCAAGGAGGCGUUCCCGGACGGUGUCAACAUCUCCAAGGAGGCCCGGAGCGCCAUCUCCCGCGCCGCCAGCGUCUUCGUGCUGUACGCCACAUCCUGUGCCAACAACUUUGCAAUGAAAGGGAAACGCAAGACACUGAAUGCCAGCGAUGUGCUGUCAGCCAUGGAGGAGACGGAGUUUCAGCGGUUCGUUACCCCAUUAAAAGAAGCUCUGGAAGCUUAUAAGAGGGAGCAGAAAGGCAAGAAGGAAGCUUCAGAGCAAAAGAAGAAGGACAAAGACAAAAAAACAGAUUCGGAAGAGCAGGACAAGAGCAGGGAUGAGGACAAUGAUGAAGAUGAGGAAAGGCUGGAGGAAGAAGGAACAGAGUGAAGAGGAGGAAGUGGACAACUGAAGAGGAUGGGGAGACGCCCCUUGGAAAGAACCAGGAGAAAACUUGGUACACGUUUGUGUGAAGCUUGUUCCGGCUGGGCAGAGUAGUCUUAGGCAGAAGAGCCUGAUAAGAUUGAAAUAAAAACUGAAUUA